rnacentral:rRNA from 1 species
GAAACCGGAGCUAAUACCGGAUAAUAUAUUGAACCGCAUGGUUCAAAAGUGAAAGACGGUCUUGCUGUCACUUAUAGAUGGAUCCGCGCUGCAUUAGCUAGUUGGUAAGGUAACGGCUUACCAAGGCAACGAUGCAUAGCCGACCUGAGAGGGUGAUCGGCCACACUGGAACUGAGACACGGUCCAG